AGAUAAGAAGCAGAGGUUGUUGGUGCAGUUCCCAUCGGGGUGAAAGCGAGGCCAGUGCAGCCCUAAGGAGCGCGAUUGAGAACAUAAUUCCAGUCACAUCCGAAGAGAGCUUUGAUUUCCAAGACUUGCGCUAAGAAUGCAACUCGGUGCCAAAUCAUUGCAGAGCAGCUCCAAAAUGGGAAAUGGAAACAGCAGCCCCCUUGCAGCCCAGAGGAAAACAUUCAGCAGCCGAGGAGCUCCAGCGCAGGCAGGUGAUUCACUUCUAAUGGAUGUUAAUGCGGUGGACACGACUGAGCAUAUUCCCAGUGGUGUACACUUACAGUUAAUUGAUAAUUGAGGUCUAUGAAAAAGAUGCACAUUAAAUCAUGGCCAAUGAGCCUGCGUAUAAGGUUGCAGCGAUUCAAAGAACAAGUCUCUAGAGUCUCUUAAGGUCUCCCACGACUGAAAUGCACUCUGAAUGAAUAAUUUAAGUGGAAUUAUUCUUAACUCCUAUUACCUUACUUAAGAUAUUAUUAUUUCAAACAUGUAGCAUAUGCAUGAUGUUGAAAUGCAUAAACGCUUUCACCUCCGCCAACUCCAGGUUGCUCUGUCCUCUAAUGCCUCCCUUGAUGUCUAAUGUUUAAUCAGUGCCGUUCCUAAUGAGCCCAUGCGAUUCUGUGAUUUGUGUAAAUGUAAUGUUUUGUCAGAUUUAACAUCAAUUAUCUGCAGCAUAUUGCUCAGAAAUUGAUGUCUAGUUUGCUGCGCUUUCCUAAAACUGAAGCUAGAGUUAUCCCUCAGUAGCAGCAGCAGCAGCAGCUCAGGAAAGCUUUCAAAUUUUCCUCAAGCACUUUAGUUUUAUAUGCGCAAAAAAAGCUGUUUACUCAGAAAAAAAAACAUAUUUAAAGCAUUCUGACUACAACUCCAAUACAAAAUACAUUACAAUACAAAUACAAUUUAAAAACACAUUACAUGUUUUAAAAAAAAAAAUUUGGGUUCCCUGCUAACACAAAUUAACACAAAACUGAUAUGAUAUGUCAUAUCUCUUAACACACAAUUGGCUCUGUACUUGUUGAAUAUCAAAAGUUAAAGGCUGGAUGAAAGGUUGUUCGAAAAAAACACCUACUGGGUUUGAGGCCCCACACAAACAAGUGCUGCUGACUUGUUGACUUGAGACGGCGUUUCUGAUAUUUUGCAUGUCAGCUACAAAAAAGACUUGCGCAUAAGCAGGAGUGUUGUUUAGAUUUACUGGUUUAAAGAUGAUAAUGCGUUUUGUAUCUUAAUGUCUUAAUUUUGAUUAAUGUUGUUCUUUAUGUUCUCUUUUUUGAUUGUGUAAAGUAAAGCACUUACAGUUUCUCUAUAUGA